CAUUAGAUGUCUGAAUAAAGAGUUGAUUUUUUAAAUCAAAAAAUAGUAUAAAAAUACUUCUAAUGA
rnacentral:tRNA from 1 species